UACAGAGGGGGCAAGCGUUUAUUCGGAAUUAUUGGGCGUAAAGGGCGCGUAGGCGGCUUGGCAAGUGGAUGGUGAAAUCCCUCGGCUUAACCGAGGAACUGCCGUCCAAACUGCUUCGCUUGAGACCGGGAGAGGUGAGUGGAAUUCCCAGUGUAGCGGUGAAAUGCGUAGAUAUUGGGAGGAACACCAGUGGCGAAGGCGGCUCACUGGACCGGUACUGACGCUGAGGCACGAAAGCGUGGGGAGCAAACAGG
rnacentral:rRNA from 1 species